CAGCUUGCGGCAGAGGAGGCAUCAUGCUCACGAAGACUGUUGUUCCGGAAUGUGGCUCAUCUCUCACACUCUGCUGACACUGCAGUUUUCCAAAACGGGAGAAACUUGGCUGCAUAAUAUCUAGUAGUGGAGGACUAUACUUGUAUUCCUCCU
rnacentral:snRNA from 1 species